UUGGUAUGAUGAAUAAACAGCACAUGCGCGUCAUCUGAUGACAAAUCAAUGAUCUCCCUGUUCUGUGUUUUACUGGAUUUGGAGUAUUGUACUGUCAAUAUGAUCAUUCUUGUGCUUCUGACCAA